GACGAACGCUGGCGGCGUGCCUAAUACAUGCAAGUCGAACGAACUCUCGUGGAGCUUGAAGGUGUGUGCUCCGCGGUGAUAGGGAGUGGAGUGAGUGGCUAACGUACGUGUAAGACGGGGGUAACUUCGCCUAAAGGGAGCUAUAACAGGUGAAAACAUUUACUAAUACCGCAUAAUACCGAACACCGCAUGUGGUGUCGCUGAAAGAUGGUUUCGGCUAUCACUUUAUGAUUGGCCCGCGAAGCAUUAGUUAGUUGGUGAGGUAACGGCUUACCAAGACCACGAUGCAUAGCCGACCUGAGAGGGUAAUCGGCCACACUGGGACUGAGACACGGUCCAGACUCCUACGGGAGGCAGCAGUAGGGAAUCUUCCACAAUGGACGAAAGUCUGAUGGAGCAACGCCGCGUGAGUGAAGAAGGUCUUCGGAUCGUAAAACUCUGUUGUUGGGGAAGAACGUAUCUGAUAGUAACUGUGCAGGUAGUGACGGUACCUAAUCAGAAAGCCACGGCUAACUACGUG
rnacentral:rRNA from 1 species